GUCGAACGAACUUCUGGUAUUGAUUGGGUGCUUGCAUUCAUGAUUUACAUUUGAGUGAGUGGCGAACUUGGUGAAGUAACACGUGGGAAACCUCGCCCAGAAGCGGGGGAUAACACCUGGAAACAGAUGCUAAUACCGCAUAACAACUUGGACCGCAUGGUCCGAGUUUGAAAGAUGGCUUCGGCUAUCACUUUUGGAUGGUCCCGCGGCGUAUUAGCUAGAUGGUGGGGUAACGGCUCACCAUGGCAAUGAUACGUAGCCGACCUGAGAGGGUAAUCGGCCACAUUGGGACUGAGACACGGCCCAAACUCCUACGGGAGGCAGCAGUAGGGAAUCUUCCACAAUGGACGAAAGUCUGAUGGAGCAACGCCGCGUGAGUGAAGAAGGGUUUCGGCUCGUAAAACUCUGUUGUUAAAGAAGAACAUAUCUGAGAGUAACUGUUCAGGUAUUGACGGUAUUUAACCAGAAAGCCACGGCUAACUACGUGCCAGCAGCCGCGGUAAUACGUAGGUGGCAAGCGUUGUCCGGAUUUAUUGGGCGUAAAGCGAGCGCAGGCGGUUUUUUAAGUCUGAUGUGAAAGCCUUCGGCUCAACCGAAGAAGUGCAUCGGAAACUGGGAAACUUGAGUGCAGAAGAGGACAGUGGAACUCCAUGUGUAGCGGUGAAAUGCGUAGAUAUAUGGAAGAACACCAGUGGCGAAAGGCGGCUGUCUGGUCUGUAACUGACGCUGAGGCUCGAAAGUAUGGGUAGCAAACAGGAUUAGAUACCCUGGUAGUCCAUACCGUAACGAUGAAUGCUAGUGUUGAGGGUUUCGCC
rnacentral:rRNA from 2 species